rnacentral:rRNA from 1 species
UACGUAGGGUCCGAGCGUUGUCCGGAAUUACUGGGCGUAAAGAGCUCGUAGGUGGUUUGUCGCGUUGUUCGUGAAAACUCACAGCUCAACUGUGGGCGUGCGGGCGAUACGGGCAGACUAGAGUACUGCAGGGGAGACUGGAAUUCCUGGUGUAGCGGUGGAAUGCGCAGAUAUCAGGAGGAACACCGGUGGCGAAGGCGGGUCUCUGGGCCGAUACUGACGCUGAGGCGCGAAGGCGUGGGGAGCGAACGGG